rnacentral:rRNA from 1 species
CGCGUAGGCGGGAUCGUGGGUCGGCCGUGAAAUCCACCGGCUCAACCGGUGAACUGCGGUCGAAACUGCGGUCCUUGAGUUUGGUAGAGGAAGACGGAAUUCCUGGUGUAGCGGUGGAAUGCGUAGAUAUCAGGAAGAACACCAGUAGCGAAGGCGGUCUUCUGGGCCACAACUGACGCUGAGGCGCGAAAGCUAGGGGAGCGAACA